GUAGAUAUAACUUAAUGGUAGAGUAUCAGAUUGUGAUUCUGAAGGUUAUAGGUUCAAGUCCUAUUAUCUACC
rnacentral:tRNA from 1 species